rnacentral:rRNA from 1 species
AUUGAACGCUGGCGGCAGGCCUAACACAUGCAAGUCGAGCGGAGCGGAGGACGGGUGAGUAAUGCCUAGGAAUCUGCCUGGUAGUGGGGGAUCACGUCCGGAAACGGGCGCUAAUACCGCAUACUAUCAGAUGAGCCUCGGUCGGCUUAGCUAGUUGGUGGGGUACAUGCCUACCAAGGCGACGCUCCGUAACUGGUCUGCGAGGAUGAUCAGUCACCCUGGAACUGAGACACGGUCCAGACGCCUACGGGAGGCAACAGUAGGGAAUAUGGGACAAUGGGCGAAAGCCUGAUCCAGCCAUGCCGCGUGUGUGAAGAAGGUCUUCGGAUUGUAAAGCACUUUAAGUUGGGAGGCGUUACCAACAGAAUAAGCACCGGCUAACUUCGUGCCAGCAGCCGCGGUAAUUC